rnacentral:lncRNA from 1 species
UCAUUUCUUCUUGAGAUUGUAGUUGGACGUUGCUCGAAGCAGACGCCAUGUGCAUGACAAACGAAAAACUGGACGAUGUAAAAAGCUGAAGUUUAAAAGGUUCAGUGCACGAUGGCUCAUAGUGGGUUCGGCGCAUCAGAUAUUUAGCCUAAAUAAAUGCUACUCAAUGAUAUGUGUUUGAACUCGCUUUCAGUUUUUUAGCCAUUGAUUUUGG